rnacentral:rRNA from 1 species
GACGAACGCUGGCGGCGUGCUUAACACAUGCAAGUCGAACGGAAAGGCCCUGCUUUUGUGGGGUGCUCGAGUGGCGAACGGGUGAGUAACACGUGAGUAACCUGCCCUUGACUUUGGGAUAACUUCAGGAAACUGGGGCUAAUACCGGAUAGGAGCUCCUGCUGCAUGGUGGGGGUUGGAAAGUUUCGGCGGAUGGGGAUGGACUCGCGGCUUAUCAGCUUGUUGGUGGGGUAGUGGCUUACCAAGGCUUUGACGGGUAGCCGGCCUGAGAGGGGGACCGGCCACAUUGGGACUGAGAUACGGCGCAGACUCCUACGGGAGGCAGCAGUGGGGAAUCUUGCACAAUGGGCGGAAGCCUGAGGCGGCAACGCCGCGAGCGGGAUGCCGGCCUUCGGGUUGUAAACCGCUGUCGCCUGUGACGAAGCGUGAGUGACGGUAAUGGGUAAAGAAGCACCGGCUAACUACGUG